rnacentral:rRNA from 1 species
UUACGGUCAAAUCACGCUGAAACACCGGUUCUCGUACGAUCACCGAAGUUAAGCAGCGUAGAGCCAGGUCCGUACUUAGAUGGGGGACCGCUUGGGAACACCUGGUACUGUAAG